rnacentral:miRNA from 1 species
CAAAAGUUGCUGGGUUUGGCUGGG